UACGAAGGGGGCUAGCGUUGCUCGGAAUCACUGGGCGUAAAGGGUGCGUAGGCGGGUUUUAAGUCAGAGGUGAAAUCCUGGAGCUCAACUCCAGAACUGCCUUUGAUACUGAAAGUCUUGAGUAUGGGAGAGGUGAGUGGAACUGCGAGUGUAGAGGUGAAAUUCGUAGAUAUUCGCAAGAACACCAGUGGCGAAGGCGGCUCACUGGCCCAUAACUGACGCUGAGGCACGAAAGCGUGGGAGCAAACGGGG
rnacentral:rRNA from 1 species